rnacentral:rRNA from 1 species
UACGUAGGCAGCAAGCGUUGUUCGGAAUUACUGGGCGUAAAGAGUGUGUAGGCGGUGCUCUAAGUUUGGUGUGAAAUCUCCCGGCUCAACUGGGAGGGUGCGACGAAAACUGGAAUGCUUGAACGUGGGAGAGGAAAGCGGAAUUCCUGGUGUAGCGGUGAAAUGCGUAGAUAUCAGGAGGAACACCUGCGGUGUAGACGGCUUUCUGGACCAUUGUUGACGCUGAGACACGAAAGCGUGGGUAGCAAACAGG